GUUGCACCAUACCACUGUCUUCCCCAUCGUAUCAUGAAAGGUCAUGUUAUGUUGAUUUAACCUCUGCCUCUCUCUUCCUCUGACUCCUCCCUUUCUCUCUAUCUCUCUGUCUCUCUCUCUCUCUCUUUCUCCUCUGUCUCUCUCUUUCUCCUCAGAUCUCCAGGGUCAAAGCGUCAGUCCACCAGAUCUCCAGGCUCAAAGUGUCAGUCCACCAGCUGAACUCUCAGUCAGACUGGUGGAUGGAACCACUUCCUGUUCUGGGACAGUGGAAGUCUUCUAUGAAGGAGAGUGGUCAGGUCUAUGUUUUAAGUGGUGGGGAAUGAGGAGAGAUGUUAAGGUUGUGUGUAGAGAGAUGGACUGUGGGAAUCCUGUAUCUGUAUCUAGAGGACCUCUGAUAGAAGAUGGAAGAAGAGGAGUCAGACUAUUUAGUAUUUGUAGUGGAGAUGAGUCUUCUAUUAGACAGUGUAACAUCAUAGAAGAACCUGGUUUCUGUUAUGGUGAAUAUUAUCAUCAUGUGACCUGUUCAGAGUCUGUGCGGCUUGUGGGUGGAUCUGGUUUCUGCUCUGGGAGAGUGGAGGUGAAGUCCAAUCAGUCCUGGGCCUCAGUGUGUGAAGCUGACUUUGACCGGCAGGAUGCAGAGGUAGUCUGUAGGGAUGUUGGCUGUGGGGCUCCUGC